rnacentral:rRNA from 1 species
AGUUUGAUUCGCUCAGAUUGAACGCUGGCGGGAUGCUUUACACAUGCAAGUCGAACGGCAGCACGGACUUCGGUCUGGUGGCGAGUGGCGAACGGGUGAGUAAUGUAUCGGAACGUGCCUAGUAGCGGGGGAUAACUACGCGAAAGCGUAGCCAAUACCGCAUACCGCCCUUCGGGGGAAAGCGGGGGACCUUCGGGCCUCGCACUAUUAGAGCGGCCGAUAUCGGAUUAGCUAGCUGGUGGGUAACGGCUCACCAAGGCGACGAUCCGUAGCUGGUUUGAGAGGACGACCAGCCACACUGGGACUGAGACACGGCCCAGACUCCUACGGGAGGCAGCAGUGGGGAAUUUUGGACAAUGGGGAAACCCUGAUCCAGCCAGCCCGCGUGUGCGAUGAAGGCUCUCUGGGUUGCGAAAGCACUUUUGGCAGGAAAGAAACGGCACGGGAUAAUACCCGUGCAACUGACGGUACCUGCAGAAUAAGCACCGGCUAACCACGUGCCAGCAGCCGCGGUAAUACGUAGGGUGCAAGCGUUAAUCGGAAUUACUGGGCGUAAAGCGUGCGCAGGCGGUUCGGAAAGAAAGAUGUGAAAUCCCAGAGCUUAACUUUGAACUCGCAUUUUUAACUACCGAGCUAGAGUGUGUCAGAGGGAGGUGGAAUUCGCGUGUAGCAGUGAAAUGCGUAGAUAUGCGGAGGAACACCGAUGGCGAAGGCAGCCUCCUGGGAUAACACUGACGCUCAUGCACGAAAGCGUGGGAGCAAACAGGAUUAGAUACCCUGGUAGUCCACGCCCUAAACGAUGUCAACUAGCUGUUGGGGCCUUCGGCCUUGGUAGCGCAGCUAACGCGUGAAGUUGACCGCCUGGGGAGUACGGUCGCAAGAUUAAAACUCAAAGGAAUUGACGGGGACCCGCACAAGCGGUGGAUGAUGUGGAUUAAUUCGAUGCAACGCGAAAAACCUUACCUACCCUUGACAUGUCUGGAAUCCCAAGAGAUUUGGGAGUGCUCGCAAGAGAACCGAACACAGGUGCUGCAUGGCUGUCGUCAGCUCGUGUCGAGAUGUUGGGUUAAGUCUCACAACGAGCGCAACCCUUGUCAUUAGUUGCUACGAAAGGGCACUCUAAUGAGACUGCCGGUGACAAACCGGAGGAAGGUGGGGACGGACGUCAAGUCCUCAUGGCCCUUGCGGGUAGGGCUUCACACGUCAUACAAUGGUCGGGACAGAGGGUCGCCAACCCGCGAGGGGGAGCCAAUCCCAGAAACCCGAUCGUAGUCCGGAUCGCAGUCUGCAACUCGACUGCGUGAAGUCGGAAUCGCUAGUAAUCGCGGAUCAGCAUGUCGCGGUGAAUACGUUCCCGGGUCUUGUACACACCGCCCGUCACACCAUGGGAGUGGGUUUUACCAGAAGUAGUUAGCCUAACCGUAAGGAGGGCGAUUAACACGGUAGGAUUCAUGACUGGGGUGAAGUCGUAAAUAAGGUAA